CCGAGAUUUGAUGAAGACAAUCAACAAAGAAUCAAUCAAGGUUCAAUAUGUCCAACAGAUACAUACUCUAUAUGUAAGCAGUGCGGCAGAUAUAUACCCAGAUUUGCAAGUAGUAUAGCAGAUAUGUACUCAGAUUUGUAAGCAGUUUAGCAGAUAUGUACUC